GGUGGGCGUGGCAGCACCGGCGCUGGCUGGAGGCGCGCUCGGUGGUUUCCCCCUUAGGCUGUCGGUGGUGGCAGGCGGUGGCCCUGAGCCUUGGGAGUGACCCAUGGCAAGCAAAGUUCUAUCAGAGUUACGAGGGCCUCACCUGCCUUAGGGAAAAGACAUUUCCUCAGGUGGAUUUUUGAGUUAGGGUGGGUUUUUUGUUUGUUUAGGCCUCACGGCCCUGAGGCAUCUGCACAUUUAUUUUGAUAAAAGCACGUUAAGGAAAAACUGUCCAGUGCUAGGGUUAGCACUUGUCAGACGCUUGACAACAGCAGACUGUGGCUGCCGAACAAAUCACGAUUUCCAAAGUGUGCUCACCUCCGGAGAGCAGAUGAUGGAUAUGAGGUGCUCUCUUAAAAGUGACAAGUGGUCCAGCCUGGGUCUCCCGGGAACAGUUCACAAGAGAAUCAAAAAGCGGGUUUUUUUGUUGUUUUGUUUUGUUUUGUGUUGCUUUUUGUUUUUGUGUUUUGAAAAACAGGAAGCAGCGCUGGGUGGAAGGCAGAGCCUGCCCGAAAGGUUUGAUUGCUUCCUCUUUAGCAAUGCUUAUCAUUCAAAACUCUCUGGCUUUCAGAAGGGAAAUGUUUCUUCAUCGCCAAGGCCAGGAGAGCAGCUCUCCACAUAAGACUUCGAGGAAUCCCUGAGAGAUGAAAAUACCUGAAAAAAAAAAAGUCAACCACAGAGAAUGACCCCUGAUAACCCCAUGCACACUUGGGGAGCUAAUGUCUCAAAACCAGUCAGUAUGUUUCUUUAGGUUUGGAUCGCUGUGUUAAGAGCCAUUUUUUUCCCAAGACUUAGCACUAUGAAAGGUGAACCGUGCUUUGUUUCUCACAAAGACCACGAUUUUACCCCUAAUGUUUUCUAGUCAUAUAAAAACUAUCGAAAAUAAAAACAUCCUUGCAUGUCA
rnacentral:lncRNA from 1 species